GAUGAACGCUAGCGGCAGGCCUAAUACAUGCAAGUCGAACGGUGUCUUCGGACAUAGUGGCGCACGGGUGCGUAACACGUAUGCAACCUACCUUACAUUGGGGGAUAGCCUUUCGAAAGGGAGAUUAAUACCGCAUAAGACAGUAGCUGGGCAUCCAGCAGCUGUUAAAGAUUUAUCGAUGUAAGCUGGGCAUGCGUCCAAUUAGCUAGUUGGUGAGGUAACGGCUCACCAAGGCAAUGAUUGGUAGGGGAACUGAGAGGUCAAUCCCCCACACUGGCACUGAGAUACGGGCCAGACUCCUACGGGAGGCAGCAGUAGGGAAUAUUGGGCAAUGGAUGCAAGUCUGACCCAGCCAUGCCGCGUGCAGGAUGAAGGCGUUAUGCGUUGUAAACUGCUUUUAUACAGGAAGAAACGACUCUUGCGAGAGGCAUUGACGGUACUGUAUAAAUAAGCACCGGCUAACUCCGUGCCAGCCGCCGCGGUAAAAC
rnacentral:rRNA from 1 species